rnacentral:rRNA from 1 species
CCUACGGGAGGCAGCAGUGGGGAAUUUUGGACAAUGGGCGCAAGCCUGAUCCAGCAAUGCCGCGUGAGUGAAGAGGGCCUUCGGGUUGUAAAGCUCUUUUGUCAGGGAAGAAAAGGGUGUGGCUAAUAUCUGCGCCUCAUGACGGUACCUGAAGAAUAAGCACCGGCUAACUACGUGCCAGCAGCCGCGGUAAUACGUAGGGUGCAAGCGUUAAUCGGAAUUACUGGGCGUAAAGCGUGCGCAGGCGGUUUUGUAAGACUGUCGUGAAAUCCCCGGGCUCAACCUGGGAAUGGCGAUGGUGACUGCAAGGCUAGAGUUUGGCAGAGGGGGGUAGAAUUCCACGUGUAGCAGUGAAAUGCGUAGAUAUGUGGAGGAACACCGAUGGCGAAGGCAGCCCCCUGGGUCAAAACUGACGCUCAUGCACGAAAGCGUGGGGAGCAAACAGGAUUAGAUACCCUGGUAGUCCACGCCCUAAACGAUGUCUACUAGUUGUCGGUCUUAAUUGACUUGUACGCAGCUACGCGUGAGUAGACCGCCGNGGGAGGUACGGUCGCGAGAAGUUAAACGUAACGAAAGAAAGUUAGUACGGCGUGAGACGUGACCGAACGGACGACGACGAGGGAGGAGG